ensembl:piRNA 21ur-4854 ncRNA
UCUCAUUGUAUUGUAAAAUGA